rnacentral:tRNA from 1 species
CGGAUGUAGCCAAGUGGAUCAAGGCAGUGGAUUUGUG